AGAGGACAGCUGUGACACAGAGGACAUAGCAGAUGUGUGAUCACGCAAUUGUCCAGGACAACCUGUCCAAUUAUCCAGUGCUGAAGAACCUUUUGCCAGAGGACUACAGCUAUCACGUGUGCUCCUUUGAGUCACAGGGGGACCAAAACAAUUUCAGGACUAACCUGAAGUUAAGGUUGACCCGGGAGGAGGAGGUGCAGAAGUGGCAGGAGGAUUUCCAGGCGUCCUCAGGCUUAACGUGGCGAAAGUCAAAGACCUAUCCAGAUGCUGGUGAUGGCUCUAACAAGUACAGGGUUGACUUGAGGUGCCACCACAACACCCGCACCAGUACUGCCAAGACUAGCAAAAACACCUCCUGCCCUGCAUUUAUGUACCUGAUUCUGAAAAGACAGACGUAUAGUAAAGGGCGGAAGUCAAGGUCUGAAGACCCCCACAUCAAGGAGGGGUACUACUUCCAUGUUGUUGUGAAAAACAGCCACAACCACUGUGUGCCCUUUGCGGCAGUCUCGGCUAAGAGAGAUGUCUCAAAAGAGACCGAAGGAAAAACUGAAGAAACUCUUUGAAAGUGGCCGGUUGCCAGGAAUCUCAUGUAACGGAGGCAUCAAACAAAAGCAAAUCUACGUCAACUAAACUAGACAUUAAACCCUCCUUCAG
ensembl:lncRNA